rnacentral:rRNA from 1 species
UGAGGAAUAUUGCGCAAUGGCCGAAAGGCUGACGCAGCAACGCUGCGUGAGUGAUGACGGUCUUCGGAUUGUAAAGCUCUGCCUUUGGGGACGAUAAUGACGGUACCCAAGGAGGAAGCCACGGCUAACUACGUGCCAGCAGCCGCGGUAAUACGUAGGUGGCAAGCGUUGUCCGGAUUUACUGGGCGUAAAGGGUGCGUAGGCGGACCUUUAAGUGAGAUGUGAAAUCCCCGAGCUUAACUUGGGGGCUGCAUUUCAAACUGGAGGUCUAGAGUGCAGGAGAGGAGAGUGGAAUUCCUAGUGUAGCGGUGAAAUGCGUAGAGAUUAGGAAGAACACCAGUGGCGAAGGCGACUCUCUGGACUGUAACUGACGCUGAGGCACGAAAGCGUGGGGAGCAAACAG